AUGCAUCUCUGACAGACUUGGAGCAGUUAAUGACUGCUGCCAAGGUUUCCAGUACAGAUGCAAGGAGAAAAAAAAGGUCCUCAUGCUUUCUGUUAGUCCAAUUGCGGCAGCCAAGAUUGAACAGGGGAAUACAGGA
rnacentral:snoRNA from 1 species